AGUACCCACAAUACAGCUGUUCUACCACAGGUAGAACUGGGGUCGAGCUGCUCUACAACAGGUAGAACUGGGGUCGAGCUGACAAGGUCAAAAAUCUUAGGUAUCCCCUUUUUCUUUCCCACGUUCCCUAAUAAAAGGCGGAUGUACGUUUUCCAAUGUCCUCAUAGUGCUUCACAUUGUAACUCCCCUCGUCCACUACUGUCCCUGUUCUGCCCCUGUCACCCACUCACAUCUUGUGUCUUUAAAAAAAAAAAAAAAAUUAUAAUGAGUAGAGUUAGUCUUGGCCUGGGAGUUACUGAUAAGCGGACUUAAUCUUGUUCUUAUCGACACAGGGAGACUGAAUACGCCACACCCUACAUCCCAUACUUUUGUAAAG
ensembl:lncRNA